rnacentral:rRNA from 1 species
CNUGCAGUCGAGCGGUAGAGAGAAGCUUGCUUCUCUUGAGAGCGGCGGACGGGUGAGUAAUGCCUAGGAAUCUGCCUGGUAGUGGGGGAUAACGUUCGGAAACGGACGCUAAUACCGCAUACGUCCUACGGGAGAAAGCAGGGGACCUUCGGGCCUUGCGCUAUCAGAUGAGCCUAGGUCGGAUUAGCUAGUUGGUGAGGUAAUGGCUCACCAAGGCGACGAUCCGUAACUGGUCUGAGAGGAUGAUCAGUCACACUGGAACUGAGACACGGUCCAGACUCCUACGGGAGGCAGCAGUGGGGAAUAUUGGACAAUGGGCGAAAGCCUGAUCCAGCCAUGCCGCGUGUGUGAAGAAGGUCUUCGGAUUGUAAAGCACUUUAAGUUGGGAGGAAGGGUUGUAACCUAAUACGUUGCAAUUUUGACGUUACCGACAGAAUAAGCACCGGCUAACUCUGUGCCAGCAGCCGCGGUAAUACAGAGGGUGCAAGCGUUAAUCGGAAUUACUGGGCGUAAAGCGCGCGUAGGUGGUUCGUUAAGUUGGAUGUGAAAUCCCCGGGCUCAACCUGGGAACUGCAUUCAAAACUGUCGAGCUAGAGUAUGGUAGAGGGUGGUGGAAUUUCCUGUGUAGCGGUGAAAUGCGUAGAUAUAGGAAGGAACACCAGUGGCGAAGGCGACCACCUGGACUGAUACUGACACUGAGGUGCGAANGCGUGGGGAGCAAACAGGAUUAGAUACCCUGGUAGUCCACGCCGUAANCGAUGUCAACUAGCCGUUGGGAGCCUUGAGCUCUUAGUGGCGCAGCUAACGCAUUAAGUUGACCGCCUGGGGAGUACGGCCGCANGGUUAAAACUCAAAUNNAUUGACGGGNNCCCGCACAAGCGGUGGAGCA